rnacentral:rRNA from 1 species
GACGAACGCUGGCGGCGUGCCUAAUACAUGCAAGUCGAGCGAAGAUUUUCUGGUGCUUGCACUUGAAAAACUUAGCGGCGAACGGGUGAGUAACAAGUAACGAACCUGCCUCAUAGACAGGGACACCUAUUGGAAACGAUAGCUAAUAACGGAUAACAGUACUUCUCGCAGGAGGGAUAUUUAAAAGUUGGUUAUGCUAACACUACGCGAUGGCUUUGCGGUGUAUUAGCUAGUUGGUGGGGUAAGGGCCCACCAAGGAGACGAGUCGUAGCCGACCUGAGAGAGGGAUCGGCCACACUGGAACUGGGACACGGCCCAGGCUCCUGCGAGAGGCAGCAGUAGGGAACCUGCGGCAAUGGUCGAAAGCCUGACGGAACAACGCCGCGUGAGUUAAGAAGGCUUUCGGUUCGUAAAGCUCUCUUUUGAGGUAAGAAUGGAUUUGUAGUAACAAGACGUGUGAGAGACGGUACCUAGUCAGAAAGCCACGGCUAACUACGUG